GGAAGUAAAAGUCGUAACAAGGUUUCCGUAGGUGAACCUGCGGAAGGAUCAUUAAUGAAAUUUAUGACUGGGGUUGUAGCUGGCCUUUUAAAACGGGCAUGUGCACGCCUCUUUCACUAAUCCACACACACCUGUGCACCUUUGCGGGGGUUCUGGGAAUCGGCGCAAGUCGUAGUACCGGGGCUCGCGUCCCUUUACACACCCUUUAUGUAUGUCUUAAGAAUGUCUACUCGAUGUAAUAAAACGCAUCUAAUACAACUUUCAACAACGGAUAUCUUGGCUCUCGCAUCGAUGAAGAACGCAGCGAAAUGCGAUAAGUAAUGUGAAUUGCAGAAUUCAGUGAAUCAUCGAAUCUUUGAACGCACCUUGCGCCCUUUGGUAUUCCGAAGGGCACACCUGUUUGAGUGUCGUGAAAUUCUCAACCCUCUUCACUUUUUUGUGAUCAGGGAUUGGACUUGGAGGCUUUGCCGGACUUUUCGUUCGGCUCCUCUCAAAUGCAUUAGUGCGUCUUGUUGCGACGUGCGCCUCGGUGUGAUAAUUAUCUACGCUGUGGUGCGCUUGCUUCUGUGGAGACAUGCUUUCAAACCGUCCGAAAGGGACAACUUUCAUCGAACUUUGACCUCAAAUCAGGUGGGACUACCCGCUGAACUUAAGCAUAUCAAUAAGCGGAGGA
rnacentral:rRNA from 1 species